GGCUCAGUAGCUAAGUGGUCACAGCGCAUCGUUCAAGUCGUGUAAUCGAAGAUCGGUGAGGUCCUGGGUUCGAAUCCCAGCUGGGUCC
rnacentral:tRNA from 1 species